rnacentral:rRNA from 1 species
GAUGAACGCUGGCGGCGUGCCUAAUACAUGCAAGUCGAGCGAACAGACGAGGAGCUUGCUCCUCUGACGUUAGCGGCGGACGGGUGAGUAACACGUGGAUAACCUACCUAUAAGACUGGGAUAACUUCGGGAAACCGGAGCUAAUACCGGAUAAUAUAUUGAACCGCAUGGUUCAAUAGUGAAAGACGGUUUUGCUGUCACUUAUAGAUGGAUCCGCGCCGCAUUAGCUAGUUGGUAAGGUAACGGCUUACCAAGGCGACGAUGCGUAGCCGACCUGAGAGGGUGAUCGGCCACACUGGAACGGAGACACGGUCCAGACUCCUACGGGAAGCAGCAGUAGGGAAUCUUCCGCAAUGGGCGAAAGCCUGACGGAGCAACGCCGCGUGAGUGAUGAAGGUCUUCGGAUCGUAAAACUCUGUUAUUAGGGAAGAACAAAUGUGUAAGUAACUAUGCACGUCUUGACGGUACCUAAUCAGAAAGCCACGGCUAACUACGUG